rnacentral:rRNA from 1 species
CCUACGGGAGGCAGCAGUAGGGAAUAUUGCUCAAUGGGGGAAACCCUGAAGCAGCAACGCCGCGUGGAGGAUGAAGGUUUUCGGAUUGUAAACUCCUUUUGUUAGAGAAGAUAAUGACGGUAUCUAACGAAUAAGCACCGGCUAACUACGUGCCAGCAGCCGCGGUAAUACGGAGGGUGCAAGAGUUACUCGGAAUACCUUGGCGUAAAGGGCGCGUAGGCGGGAUAGUACGUCAGAUGUGAAAUCCUAUGGCUUAACCAUAGAACUGCAUUUGAAACUGUUAUUCUAGAGUAUGGGAGAGGUAGGUGGAAUUCCUGGUGUAGGGGUAAAAUCCGUAGAGAUCAAGAGGAAUACUCAUUGCGAAGGCGACCUGCUAGAACAUAACUGACGUUGAUGCGCGAAAGCGUGGGGAGCAAACAGGAUUAGAUACCCUGGUAGUC